UGCGAAGGUAGCAGCAAUCCGUCGUCACCGAUUCCAGUAGAAAGCUGUGGAGGACUUGCAAUUGCUGCUGCUAAGACGGAAUCCGAGUCUCCUAUUGCCAGAUUAGCCGGAAGGACAUACAACCAAAGCUCAGAUUGCUGAAGACUUUGGUGGCGAAGGGCAAAGAGGAAAAGAAGGAGAAAGAAACCUUCACAGCCUCGAGACAAGGCAAAGGUGAGUCUAACCAUAAAAACCCCUCCUAUACUCAGUAAAGUAGCUGCUCGUUAUUGUAGUGUCGGGUGCCCAGCAAACCACAUUACGGACGGUAGCCAUAAAUUUAGCGAAAUUACCAACGGCCCCAUUGGGUGAGUGCCUUAUUAUCGUACUGCAUGAGCCAAUCUUAAAGUAGCGAUGAAUUUUAAUAGGGUCGUUUUUGGGAGCUGAGCCAAACGCUUUUCGGGACUCGAUUUUCGCCAUCUUGGUUUUGCGAGUCCCGUUUUUGCGAAAUCAAGCUGCGGACGUUGCGAGAGCCAGCCGGAAGUAGGCGGAAGUGCUCCGGGCAGCUGUGGUACGCCCGUCGAAGCAGUGCAGCCAGGCAGGGUUGCCAGUUCUACAGAAAAUCCGUGAUAUUAAGCUGUGAUACACCUGUGCCGUCCGAGCUGUGAUAUGAUUGUUGUUAUUGUUUGGAUGUUAGGGUAGGAAACGGGCCCGUGAGUAAUAAUGUAAGCUAGCUUAAGUUUUUAAAAUGUCGUGUGUAAGUAAAUAAUUAUAAUUGCUACAGAUUUGGGUUUUGCGUGUUUGUGUUUUGGGUAAAAGUUAGCCGAGCAGCACACACUGAAAGUCAG